GUAGGGUCCGAGCGUUGUCCGGAAUUAUUGGGCGUAAAGGGCUCGUAGGCGGUUUGUCGCGUCGGGAGUGAAAACAUCGGGCUUAACUGGGUGCUUGCUUUCGAUACGGGCAGACUUGAGGUAUGCAGGGGAGAACGGAAUUCCUGGUGUAGCGGUGAAAUGCGCAGAUAUCAGGAGGAACACCGGUGGCGAAGGCGGUUCUCUGGGCAUGACCUGACGCUGAGGAGCGAAAGUGUGGGGAGCGAACAGGAUUAGAUACCCUGGUAGUCCACACCGUAAACGUUGGGCGCUAGGUGUGGGGCCUAUUCCAUGGGUUCCGUGCCGUAGCUAACGCAUUAAGCGCCCCGCCUGGGGAGUACGGCCGCAAGGCUA
rnacentral:rRNA from 1 species